rnacentral:rRNA from 1 species
CUAGUAAUCGCGAAUCAGAAUGUCGCGGUGAAUACGUUCCCGGGUCUUGUACACACCGCCCGUCACACCAUGGGAGUCGGAAAUGCCCGAAGCCGGUGACUCAACCGCAAGGAGAGAGCCGUCGAAGGCAGGUCUGAUAACUGGGGUGAAGUCGUAACAAGGUAUC